GAGAAUUUCGUCGCACAAAGAAGGCAUUUAGUCUCUGUCAGAUACACAAAUGCAAGUGCGUGCGCGGUGACAAGUGCUAUAGUACUUAAAGCUCCACAAUUGAAGUGGCAUGUUCCUCGCCGUAACAUUAGCUUCAGAUGGUCCUACAAGCAGUCUUCUUUCGAGUGUUCAACUAGGCCAGUAAGAAGGAACGGCGUACGUGUAGCUCGUGACGGACACAGUCCGAACACACGCACACAUAAUAUAUAUAUAUAUAUAUAUAUAUAUAUAUAUACAGGGUGUCACAGCUAACUUGGACCAAGAUUUUAAGUAUACCCAAGAGCUCUAGAGACAUCGUACCAACAGCAUAGUAGCCGUAGUCGUAUGUAUUUAUGGCCUGACCAGUGUUCUUUUCAUCACGAAGUAUUACUUAAUUACUUUUAAUUAGUGAACUUUUUAAUUAUUGCUUGAAUCGCAAACGUAUCAAUUGCAAAGUUGUUGGGCACCUCAAAUAACCUCCAAAUCAAGCAUUUGUUUGGUGCUAAACUUCGCCCCAUUGGUUUUUCCGAGAAAAAAACAAAAGCGCGCGAAACAUUCAAAACACGAAAUAGGCGCCCGCGCGCCGCUACUCAAGCGCUCCCAAGCGAAUAGCCACGGAUACACGGCUUUACUAUAGGAGGCAGCUCGAUGUAGGGCUUCAGGCUAUGUCAUGGUCGCGGCAAGAAGGGAACACGCCGCUGACGAAAAGCGUUGCGGAGCCUUGUACGAUGAGGCGAUAAGAGAAUGCAGCCGUAUAUCUUUCAAUGGUUGCUUGUAGGCGCUUGAGUAGCCGCGUGCGAGUGCGCAUCUAUUUCGUAUUUCGCGUAUUUCGCGGGCGUUUAUUUUUUCUUGCAAAAAACAACCACGACCACUUCAGCACGAAAUAAAUGGUUGAUUCGGAGGUGACUUAAGGCGCCCUACAAAUUUGUGAUUGGUAUGUUUGCGACUAAAGCAAUAGUUAAAAAGUUCAUUGAUUAUAAGUAAUCAAUUAAGUAAUACUACGUGAUGCAAAAAAUUCUGGCCGUAAGUACCUACGACUAGGGCUACUAUGCAGUCGGUAUGAUUUCUCUAGAGCUCUUGAGUAUCUUUAAAAUCCUGGUCCAAGUUAGCUGGGACGCCAUGUAUGUGUGUAUGUAUGUAUGUAUGUAUGUAUGUAUGUAUGUAUGUAUGUAUGUAUGUAUGUAUGUAUGUGUGUAUGUAUGUAUGUAUGUAUGUAUGUAUGUAUGUAUGUAUGUAUGUAUGUAUGUAUGUAUGUAUGUAUGUAUGUAUGUAUGUAUGUAUGUAUGUUCAUUUAGAUAUACCCUGCAGGCCCCAAGAGGUAUUGCGUAAGGGAGGAGAGCGCACUUAAGCAUUAAUUGUAACGUAUGCAAUAACUACAAUACAUACGUGAAUACCAAUAACAAAUAUAGUCAGAAGUGCAGUAUUAUGUAGUAAUAUAUUCUUACAAUGGUGUGCAAAGGAACUAAGCGAUCACUUUUCAACGCAACAGCUCAUUGAACAAUAAACUUUUCAAAAGUAAAAUAUAAUCAAUAGAAUUACAGAGCGAGCGUGACAUAAUUAGACUGUAACAGAACAGUAUUUAAUGCGCAGUUGCACAUUAUUAACGUUAAAUCCAAUCGAACAAAUAAUACGUUGGGUUGUAUAACGUUUGAAAAUGCGUUGGUAGAAGAAGCCCUAGAUUUUCUUGGUCACUCUUAAAAACUAUAGAGUUAGGAAGGCCGUUCCAAAAGGAAAUGACUCUUGGAAGAGCACAGUAGUUAAAUGCAUUAAUCUUUGCGCAGAUGCGCAUGAAAUUGAAGUGGUUGUACAACCGCUGAGGCCUGUAAAGAAGAGUUUCAAGAAGCAAAAAUAAAGGCUCUGUGUUAUGGACGUGUUUGUGAAAUAACUAUAGCAGGGCUAUAUCACAACGUUUACGCGAAAGCUGUAGUGAGAGGUCUACAUUAAUUUGUGUUAUGCUUUUGUUAUCGUCGUAAGAGAGUGAUAUAAAACGCAUACCCCUAUUCUAAAUAGCUUCGAGAUUUUUGAUCAAAUCAUUCUGAUGGGGAGACAAGCUGGAUGGUGCGUAUUCGAGCUGAGGUCAAACAAAUGUUAGGUUAGCUAGUUUACGAAUACUUGUAUAUUUAGUAGAAUUAUGUAAGUUGCACCGUAUGUACCCUAGUGAUCUCCAAGGAAUGCCCCAUAUGUUUGCAGUGUGAGUUGACCACGAAGGCGUCGAAGUUAGCUUAGCACUAAGAUAUUUGUAUUGAGUACCAUGCAAAACAGUCGUUUAUUUAUGUGAUAAAUAAACAACACCUUGUGUACUUGAUGCUAAAAGAGGCAACUUCACAUUAAAAAAUAUUAAACUUUACUAGCCAAGUGUUACACGAAAAGAAAAUAACUUUUGAAUCUUUUUAGAAGAUUGGACCAUCAUCAGCACCCUUACUGAAACGAUGAAGAAUAAAAUCGUCAGCAAAAAUUUGCACAGGUGAAGAAAUGCUAUUGGGUAGGUCACCAAUGUAUAUUAGAAAUAGUAACGGUCGAACAACGCUGCCUUGUGGUGCACCUGAAAUAAAUGUGUGAAACACGAGAGGAAUAAAUAUUAGCUGGUGUGAAAUGCUGACGAUUGAUAGGACAUUGCGAAUCCCUGUUAGUGUAAGAAAAUCUAAUUUAGGAGAAUACUUUGAAAUCCCACGGCGAUGUGCGACAAGGUCAAAUGCUUGUAUGUAUGUAUGUAUGUAUGUAUGUAUGUAUGUAUGUAUGUAUGUAUGUAUGUAUGUAUGUAUGUAUGUAUGUAUGUAUGUAUGUAUGUAUGUAUGUAUGUAUGUAUGUAUGUAUGUAUGUAUGUAUGUGUGAAUGAGAUGAAAGCGGGUUAACCCUUGGGCCCGAUUUAUUUUUCAUUAAUCUUCUCAUAAGAGGGCAAUAAAGAACGACACCAAGGACAUCAUAACGAAUUUUACUUGUACUUACUAAUUGAACUAACGAAAUUAUAAAUAAAUGACAAUGAAAGGGGAUGAAAAAACAACUUGAUGCAGAUGGUGAAUGAUCCAGCGUCAUCACAUUACUCGUGGGAUGCUUUAAUCAAUUGAGCUACCGCGGUGCUGUUUUCCCAUUCACUUUCUUGGGCAUUUAUGUUUUACUACUAGAAAAAGCCUCGGGAGUGUUAGCCAGCGCCACCACUCACAAACCUUGGCGGCGGAUGUGGAACAUCCUUUCUGCCGGAGGCGUCACAAGUACGUGAUAUAUGUAUAUAGGUACGUGCCUGUGUGUGUUUAGUACGUGCAUAUUAUAAUUGUUUAUCUAAUUAUAAAUUCAAGGACAUAGUACUUGCAGUAAGGAAAAGGUUGCUCCGUUUCAUACUUAGCACGCAACGCCAUGAAAACUGUGCAAAUAGCCUAGCCAUACAAGUCUCGCAGCGCGCGUUUCACCCAGUCGCAGAGUUUCAAUUGUGACACUUUCCACUGAAUAACUUCUUUAAAUUUCAAAAAUGCAACUUUUUGAAUGUCAGGUCGUCUCAUCACUUAUUAUUUGCAUUUUGCUGCUGUCGGUAUGCGGCGCACUGUAUUGAGAUGCGAGCACCAAGGUUUCGCUGUCACCGCUAGGGCAGAAAAAUGUCCCCCCAUCAAUUCGGUCAUAGACAGGUUUAGAUCUGCGGUGCAUUCCAUCUGGUAAAUACACUACAUUUUGUUACAUAAAGGUUCAAUACUUACGGUUACAUCGAAUAACGUGACGCAUUACUAUGCCUUUUUAUUUCGUAAAUGAUCUAUUAUUUUUUAAUCUCCCAUGCUAUCAGUUAGAGAAGUCCCUCUAGCCAUCGUAGGGUUGCACGUUAUGUAUGAAAAGGAGUAUAGGUACACCUUAAAGGUUUCCCGAAACAUGCAUCAUGCGUCUCUGCCCUGCGGCACUGAUUUCAUCACCAAUGUUAUAAACUGCGUUAGGCUUAUAUCGCGAAGAUCAGAAGUUGUUGAAUGCUUGUUAUUUAGAUAAUGCCUCACUGUGAUAUGCAAAGCAAAGAUAACGUGGCUUCUUCAAAUAAAUCAGUUUCUUUGCCACGUCUCUUUCUACACAGACCUGUAGAAUCUCAAAGAGCCUUGAUACUAUGACGAAUUAUUUUGAGCUCUCGUAUUGCAUGACCAGGAUAUUUCUAUUAUCAAUGGAGGGGUGGCUUCAAGCGCACAGCCUCCUGUUUUGGCCAUUCUUUAUUCAGAUAUGACAGCUAGACUGAAAGGCAGCGUGGGACCACCCUAUCCCUCCUGUAUGCACGGGUCUCUGGCUGCUAACAUAAGCGCAAGAAGCGGGGCCGGAGACAAGACACCACGCCGCACAACACCCCAGGACUGAAUAUUUCCCUUUGGAAGAAGGUAAUUUGAUAUUGAGUGAAGGUACAUCGGGAUUGGAAAGUUGCUGGAUUUAUAAAUUCCAUGGAAGCACAAGUUUGCGCCUAUAAGCAUGGUAGCGCAAUGCACUGCAUCGUCAAAUGCGCUCCCUGUGUACCAAGAUUUUACUUUCGGUCAGCACAGUGCGCCGUUAUAUGCGGUGACUAGUGAACAUGACAAUUAGCUACUGAAGCCUACACCACGAUGUUGGUGGUAGAAUAAAAAAAAAUUGUAAACACGA